rnacentral:rRNA from 1 species
UACGUAGGGCGCGAGCGUUGUCCGGAAUUAUUGGGCGUAAAGAGCUCGUAGGCGGCCUGUCGCGUCCGCUGUGAAAAUCCCCGGGGGCUUAACCCCCGGGCCUGCAGUCGAUACGGGCAGGCUAGAGUUCGGCAGGGGAGACUGGAAUUCCUGGUGUAGCGGUGAAAUGCGCAGAUAUCGAGGAGGAACGACCGGUGGCGAAGGCGGGUCUCUGGGCCGAUACUGACGCUGAGGAGCGAAAGCGUGGGAGCGAA